AACGAACGCUGGCGGCAUGCCUAACACAUGCAAGUCGAACGAACCCUUCGGGGUGAGUGGCGCACGGGUGCGUAACGCGUGGGAACCUGCCCUUAGGUUUGGAAUAACGUUUCGAAAGGAACGCUAAUACCAAAUAAUGUCUUCGGACCAAAGAUUUAUCGCCUUUGGAUGGGCCCGCGUAGGAUUAGCUAGUUGGUGAGGUAAAGGCUCACCAAGGCGACGAUCCUUAGCUGGUCUUAGAGGAUGAUCAGCCACACUGGGACUGAGACACGGCCCAGACUCCUACGGGAGGCAGCAGUGGGGAAUAUUGGACAAUGGGCGAAAGCCUGAUCCAGCAAUGCCGCGUGAGUGAUGAAGGCCUUAGGGUUGUAAAGCUCUUUUACCAGGGAUGAUAAUGACAGUAC
rnacentral:rRNA from 1 species